rnacentral:rRNA from 1 species
CCUACGGGUGGCAGCAGUGAGGAAUAUUGGUCAAUGGGCGUAAGCCUGAACCAGCCAAGUCGCGUGAGGGAUGAAGGUUCUAUGGAUUGUAAACCUCUUUUAUAAGGGAAUAAAGUGCGGGACGUGUCCCUUUUUGUAUGUACCCUAUGAAUAAGGAUCGGCUAACUCCGUGCCAGCAGCCGCGGUAAUACGGAGGAUACGAGCGUUAUCCGGAUUUAUUGGGUUUAAAGGGUGCGUAGGUGGCCUUUUAAGUCAGCGGUGAAAGUUUGUGGCUCAACCCUAGAAUUGCCGUUGAAACUGGGAGGCUUGAGUAUGUUUGAGGUAGGCGGAAUGCGUGGUGUAGCGGUGAAAUGCAUAGAUAUCACGCAGAACCCCGAUUGCGAAGGCAGCCUGCCAAGCCAUGACUGACGCUGAUGCACGAAAGCGUGGGGAUCAAACAGGAUUAGAUACCCGAGUAGUC